GCAUAUCAAAUAGCGGAGGAAAAGAAACCRACAGGGAUUGCCCUAGYAAMGGCGAGUGAAGCGGCAACAGCUCAAAUUUGAAAUCUGGCCUCGGCCCGAGUUGUAAUUUGCAGAGGAUGCUUCUGGCGCGGUGCCUUCCGAGUUCCCUGGAACGGGACGCCACRGAGGGUGAGAGCCCCGWAUGGUCGGACACCAAGCCUGUGUGAAGCUCCUUCGMYGAGUCGAGUAGUUUGGGAAUGCUGCUCURAAUGGGAGGUAAAUCUCUUCUMAAGCUAAAUACCGGCCAGAGACCGAUAGCGCACAAGURGAGUGAUCGAAAGAUGAAAAGCACCUUSAAAAGGGGGUUAAAUAGUACGUGAAAUUGUUGAAAGGGAAGCACUUAUGACCRGACUUGGGCCGGGCGGCUCAUCWGGGGUUCUCCCCUGUGCACUCCGCCCGGCACAGGCCAGCAUCRGUUCUCGUGGGGGGAUAAGACCGUCAGGAACRUAGCACUCUCCGGAGUGUGUUAUAGCCUGGCGGACGAUACCCCCGUGGGGACCGAGGUCCGCKCAUUGCARGGAUGCUGGCGUAAUGGUCAUCASUGMCCCGUCUUGAAACACGGACCAWGGAGUCGUCCAUUAGAGCGAGCGUUUGGGUGUAAAACCCGCACGCGUAAUGAAAGUGAACGCAGGUGAGAGCUUCGGCGCAUCAUCKACCGAUCCUGAUGUUCUCGGAAGGAUUUGAGUAAGARUUUUAACGGACGGACCCKAAAGACAGUGAACUAUGCUUGAAUAGGGUGAAGCCAGAGGAAACUCUGGUGGAGGCUCGCAGCGGUUCUGACGUGCAAAUCGAUCGUCAAAUUUGAGCAUGGGGGCGAAAGACUAAUCGAACUGUCUAGUAGCUG
rnacentral:rRNA from 1 species